UGGGAAAAAUGGUUGACAUUU
rnacentral:piRNA from 1 species